rnacentral:rRNA from 1 species
AAAUUGAAGAGUUUGAUCAUGGCUCAGAUUGAACGCUGGCGGCAGGCCUAACACAUGCAAGUCGAACGGUAACAGGAAACAGCUUGCUGUUUCGCUGACGAGUGGCGGACGGGUGAGUAAUGUCUGGGAAACUGCCUGAUGGAGGGGGAUAACUACUGGAAACGGUAGCUAAUACCGCAUAAUGUCGCAAGACUAAAGAGGGGGACCUUCGGGCCUCUUGCCAUCGGAUGUGCCCAGAUGGGAUUAGCUAGUAGGUGGGGUAACGGCUCACCUAGGCGACGAUCCCUAGCUGGUCUGAGAGGAUGACCAGCCACACUGGAACUGAGACACGGUCCAGACUCCUACGGGAGGCAGCAGUGGGGAAUAUUGCACAAUGGGCGCAAGCCUGAUGCAGCCAUGCCGCGUGUAUGAAGAAGGCCUUCG